UCGAACGGAAAGGCUGGGUGCUUGCACCCGGUACUCGAGUGGCGAACGGGUGAGUAACACGUGGGUGAUCUGCCCUGCACUUCGGGAUAAGCCUGGGAAACUGGGUCUAAUACCGGAUAGGACCAUUGGUUGGUACUGGUGGUGGAAAGUUUUUCGGUGCAGGAUGAGCUCGCGGCCUAUCAGCUUGUUGGUGGGGUAAUGGCCUACCAAGGCGGCGACGGGUAGCCGGCCUGAGAGGGUGGACGGCCACAUUGGGACUGAGACACGGCCCAGACUCCUACGGGAGGCAGCAGUGGGGAAUAUUGCACAAUGGGCGCAAGCCUGAUGCAGCGACGCCGCGUGGGGGACGACGGCCUUCGGGUUGUAAACUCCUUUCAACCAUGACGAAGCUUUCGGGUGACGGUACCCGGCCAGAAAGCCACGGCUAACUAC
rnacentral:rRNA from 1 species